rnacentral:rRNA from 1 species
GAUGAACGCUGGCGGCGUGCCUAACACAUGCAAGUCGAGCGAUUCUCUUCGGAGAAGAGCGGCGGACGGGUGAGUAACGCGUGGGUAACCUGCCCUGUACACACGGAUAACAUACCGAAAGGUAUGCUAAUACGGGAUAACAUAAGAAAUUCGCAUGUUUUUCUUAUCAAAGCUCCGGCGGUACAGGAUGGACCCGCGUCUGAUUAGCUAGUUGGUGAGGUAACGGCUCACCAAGGCGACGAUCAGUAGCCGACCUGAGAGGGUGAUCGGCCACAUUGGAACUGAGACACGGUCCAAACUCCUACGGGAGGCAGCAGUGGGGAAUAUUGCACAAUGGGCGAAAGCCUGAUGCAGCAACGCCGCGUGAGCGAUGAAGGCCU